rnacentral:rRNA from 1 species
UACGUAGGGACCGAGCGUUGUCCGGAUUCAUUGGGCGUAAAGGGUGCGUAGGUGGCGCCGUAAGUCAGGUGUGAAAUUUCGGAGCUUAACUCCGAAACUGCAUUUGAUACUGCGGUGCUUGAGGACUGGAGAGGAGACUGGAAUUUACGGUGUAGCAGUGAAAUGCGUAGAGAUCGUAAGGAAGACCAGUGGCGAAGGCGGGUCUCUGGACAGUUCCUGACACUGAGGCACGAAGGCCAGGGGAGCAAACGGG